CCUCCCCCCCCCCCCCCCGGUGGCGCGCGGCGGCCGUUACGGACGGUUGCGGGCGCCGCCCCUCCCCCCAGCAGAGCGCGCGGCGGGCGCGGGCGGGAUGCGGCGGGGGCUGGGCCGGCAUCCAGCAGCGUCCCUGGGCAGGCACGGGAGUUCUCCACCAGAUAUCACCAGAGAAGCUGCUGAAAGACUUAAGAGACUCUCCUAAUACAGAACCAUAUUUUGGUUUCAUGUCCUGUGACCUGGCUAUGAAGAAGAUCUUUUAUCCAGGUCAUUAUGGAACCUAGCCCUACCCUCCACAGUAUCUGCAGCUCCACUCAACUUCGUGUGAUCUGCAAAUUUGUUAAGUGUGCACUUGAUACCAUCAUCCAAGUCAUUAUUGAGGAUGUUGAACAGUUUUGGACCCAGGACAGCCCCUGGUGAGCUCCACUUGAUACUUUCUUCCAACUGGACACUGGGCCAUUGAUGACUAUUCAUUAAAGAGAAUGAUCCAACCUGUGUGUAUCCACCUUACAAUGCUUCUGUCUCAUCUGUAUUUCCUUAGCUUGUUAAUAAAAAUGUUGAGCGAGA